UACGGAGGGUGCAAGCGUUAUCCGGAUUCACUGGGUUUAAAGGGUGCGUAGGUGGGCAGGUAAGUCAGUGGUGAAAUCUCCGGGCUUAACCCGGAAACUGCCAUUGAUACUAUCUGUCUUGAAUACCGUGGAGGUGAGCGGAAUAUGUCAUGUAGCGGUGAAAUGCUUAGAUAUGAACAUAGAACACCAAUUGCGAAAGGCAGCUCACUACGCGAAUAUUGACAACUGAGGCACGAAAAGCGUGGGGGAUCAAAACAGGAGUUAGA
rnacentral:rRNA from 1 species